rnacentral:lncRNA from 1 species
AUGGCAAACAAGGCUGCAGAGCAGAUGUUUUAUGCGGGAGGCCACCCUGGUCAGCUCCCACUGUACUGUGCCAGAAAAAUCAGCAGAAAUUCAUGUUGCACUGUGAGCAACAUUCGCAUGUCACUGUGUCAUCUAGCUCCCAGAAGAGGAGUGUUACAUGAUGGUGAAAUAAGCAGAGAAAACUGGAUAGCGGCUGGACCAUAUGGUGAAGGGAGCGGCUCCCCAUUAAAGAAACAGAGAAAACAACAGAGCAUUCAGGUUUUAUCCUUCAGUCCUUGAAGAUUACUGAAUUAAAACAAGAAGAAAUGAGAGAAUGAGUAGCUCUAGGUUUACACUUGCUACUAAAGGAGGAAUUGAUGUCAAGCAUAUUAUGGCCUGCUAAGAUACACAAGAAUGGCUGAAAAUGUGUUGAAAGACACGACACAGUCUUUGGGAAGAAACUGUCCUGCUUUUGGCAAAGCAGUUUCCAUCAGUGUCAGUCACCUCCUAACACAGCCUGAUGAGUUACUUGGACCAAAUUCUGUGUGGAAAAAGUGACACAGGAUAGCCAGGAAAUAACAGUGCUCCAGGACACGGGAUCAGUCUAGAAAGACAGCAGCUUGACAGUCGUCAUAUCUGAUGGGUGGGCUGGAUGGAGUUUGGUCUCUUCUUGGCUCACAGCUGUUAGCAAGGUGAAAUCAGCAGGUGAAAGGAAACAUCUCUCACAUCCUCCCUGUGCACCUUUCCUCACCAAGGCUGACUUAAUGUCCCUGGUCCUUCACAGAGAAGAGCAGAAAUUUACUUGAGUCAAAUGGAAAACAUGGUAUGAGUCACAAGUUUGUAGAGUAGUGUGGUUUUUAUGGGUUACAGUGGAGAGUUGAUGGGGUCUCCUGGGUGAUUUCUGAGAAUGCUGUCUAGCAAAGAUACUAUAAAGGAAAAAGAGCAGAAAUGUGUAUUUUCCUUUGUCUGCUUGUCUGUAAUCCCUUUUUCUAAGUGGAAAAUUGAUCAGAUGGUGUUUCUAGCUCUAGUUCCAUUAACUGGUGUAGAAGGCCUCUCUUUUGGCUUUUUCUUGUAUUAUGUUGGAUGGAGGAAAGUAAUAAUAAAGAAUUCUAGAGAGAUAUUUGGUAGUCUACA